CCUCUACACCGAUCGCGAAAUAGCCCCAAGUUAAUUCCAAACAGGAAGAUUGAAUGAUCCAUCAGAUGAAAUCCCAAUCACAGACGUCGAACAGAAGAGAAAACCCGAAAGAAACGCCCGCAGCUCAAGAUGCAAAUGCUGAAAAUGGAUAAGAACAGGUGCCGCCAACACCAAGAACAAACAAGGUGAAAAAGUUCCAGAGAGCUUGUCUGAAAAAUCCUGUUAAGGUUGAAGCUACGUCCAAAUACUCAACUGUGUAUACGCUGAAGCAAAAGUUUUGCUUCAUUUUUCAAAGCAUAAAGUCUGUAGAUUCCCCUGCUUCACAUUCCUUUUUGUGUGGUAUCUAUAAGAGACAGUUUACUGUUGUAUGACUUGCAAAAGAACUGCAUGAACAUUAAUUUGGUGAUUAUUGGAUUUUGUUCGGUUGGAUAGGGUGGAAAAAAUUGAAUCCACGCUUGUGGUAAAGAGUACGUUAUUGCAUAUUGUGAGUCAAUGUUAGAUAAAGUGAAAGUUGCAAGAUAUUUCUUUUCUGAAUUAUUUCAUGUAGUUUUCUUCAGUUUCUGUACCUUAUAUUUUGCUGCAAGAUUGCUAUCUUGUUCAUAUUCUCACCAAGAUGUCAGGAAAGACAUCUAUGGUUUUUACUAGAACAUGUAAAUGUGAUGCAAAUCGUCUUUUGGGUGAGUGGUCAAAUGAGCCAGGUAUAUUUCAAAAAUCAUAUAGCAUUUUAUUCUAAGGUAAUUUAUUUUCAUCUACAUGAUAUUAUUUUUCUUGAUAAUUGUUUGCAGGAGAAAAGGACUUGGAGCCUUGAACAUAUUCAAAGAGGAAGAGUGCGAUGUACUUAUAUGCAAUGAUGUUGCCAGUAGAGGACUUGAUAUUCCUUCUGUAGAUAUGGUUAUCAAUUAUGAUAUCCCAAUGAACUCAAAGAUAUUAAUAUGAGGCUAAGAAGAUAAUGCCUCGCUAGAAUGUUACAAAUAGAAUGUUACAGAGGCCAAAAGAAUAUCGAAGAUGGUAUGUAUAGACUAUUCUCUUCAUCUGACGAAGAGUAAUAUAGUUUUUGCUUGAUUGAAAUAUUGGUUUUCAUUCCCUUUUGUUGAACUGUGAUUUUCUAGGCUAUAAAUUUGCUUUUAUUUUCUUCAAACUUUUGCUGAAAAUCAAAGAAACCAGAGGCUAGAAGACACGAAAACAAGAUGAUGAUAACGCAGAGGACACUGAUAAAUAUUUAGGUCUCAAGAAAACGAAGUCAUUUGAGAAAUGAAAGAGAAGAUAACAGAAGGAUUUUCUGUCAAGUUUUGUUCAAAUUAGGACUAGUCAAUUUUAUACUUAUUCAUAAUUUUGUUUUUCUCGUGAGAGUUUGUGACACAAUUUUGAUUAUGAUUUUUUAUGGUAUAUAUGAUUUUGCCUUUAUUACCAAAUUUCUCCUCCUAAUGUUGUCAUAUUAUCAUGUAUUUUCGAGCUACUGACAUUCUGUUUUAGACAGGAGCUGUAGUUCUUGUCACUCAGAACUAAGAGAUUUGUAUUUAAUAUGGCUCUUG